rnacentral:rRNA from 1 species
GACGAACGCUGGCGGCGUGCUUAACACAUGCAAGUCGAGCGGUAAGGCUCCUUCGGGAGUACACGAGCGGCGAACGGGUGAGUAACACGUGAGUAAUCUGCCCUUCACUUCGGGAUAACCACCGGAAACGGUGGCUAAUACCGAAUACGACCAGUCUUCGCAUGAGGUGCUGGUGGAAAGUCUUUUCGGUGAAGGAUGUGCUCGCGGCCUAUCAGCUUGUUGGUGGGGUAAUGGCCUACCAAGGCUUCGACGGGUAGCCGGCCUGAGAGGGUGACCGGCCACACUGGGACUGAGACACGGCCCAGACUCCUACGGGAGGCAGCAGUGGGGAAUAUUGGACAAUGGGCGAAAGCCUGAUCCAGCAACGCCGCGUGAGGGAUGACGGCCUUCGGGUUGUAAACCUCUUUCAGUACCGACGAAGCGCCCUGUCGGGUGGUGACGGUAGGUACAGAAGAAGGACCGGCCAACUACGUG